AAGAAUUCCGAAGAGCAUGUUGCUGUGUUUUGUCAGCUAUCGAACAUCAAUUUAGCUUUGGAACCUCUGUGGCUGGAGUUGAGCAAUUGCAUAUGCAAAAUAGAGGGGCAUUCUGAUUCUGCUUCUGCUUCUACGACGUCUCCAACAACCUCGACGAGUUCAGCAACAACAAGGGGAGCUGGAGUAAGCCAAUCACUUCCUGCUGGUGCCCAAAACAUGUUGCCUUAUGUAGAGUCGUUUUUUGUUACCUGUGAGAAAUUGCAUCCAUCAUCACAGUCUUGUGAUAUCUCGGUUCCCAUGGCGGCUUCUGAUGUUGAGGAGCAGCCCAAGGGUCCAGGACCAAGCAGCAGCUCCAAGGUGGAUGAGAAAUACGGUUCUUUUAUAAAGUUUUCUGAAAGGCACAGGAAACUUCUUAAUGCUUUCAUCCGACAAAAUCCUGCUCUGCUUGAGAAGUCCUUUUCGCUAAUGCUCAAGGUUCCACGUUUUAUUGAAUUUGAUAACAAACGUGCAUACUUCAGAUCAAAGAUAAAACACCAGCAUGACCAUCACCAUAGCCCUUUGAGAAUCUCAGUGAGAAGAGCCUACAUUCUUGAAGAUUCAUACAACCAAUUGCGAAUGAGGUCAACUCAAGAACUGAAAGGUAGAUUGACUGUUCACUUCCAAGGAGAAGAAGGUAUUGAUGCUGGUGGGCUUACCAGGGAAUGGUAUCAGCUGUUGUCAAGGGUUAUUUUUGACAAAGGAGCUCUUCUGUUCACAACCGUUGGCAAUGACUCGACUUUCCAACCGAAUCCAAACUCUGUUUACCAGACAGAGCACCUCUCCUACUUCAAAUUCGUUGGCCGGGUGGUAAGCUCUUUUUUUCUUUUUUUUUUUACCUAAGUAAGUAGACUUAUUUGCAGCUGCGUUAAUUCCUUCCUAAAUUCUAUCUAUCCUGCGUGCACAGGUUGGAAAAGCUCUGUUUGAUGGUCAACUACUUGACGUCCAUUUCACUCGCUCUUUUUACAAGCAUAUCUUGGGAGUUAAGGUCACGUACCAUGAUAUUGAAGCUAUAGAUCCCGAUUACUAUAAAGCCCUGAAAUGGAUGCUGGAGGUAUAUAUAUACUGUAGAUACACCUUUGUUUGUUUGUUUGGUCCAAAGCAUUUGUUACUCAUCUGUUCUUUUUUCUAUAAUGCAGAAUGAUAUUAGCGAUGUCCUAGAUCUCACUUUUAGCGUUGAUGCUGAUGAGGAAAAGCUAAUACUGUAUGAAAAAACGGAGGUAACAACUAUAACUUGUUCAGCCUUUUUUAACAGUGUCUUUGAAAUAAAAUUUGUUUUGAACGAACAUUAAAAUAAAAUAAAAAUUGCAGGUGACUGACCAUGAACUGAUCCCUGGAGGGCGGAACAUUAAAGUCACUGAGGAGAAUAAGCAUGAAUAUGUAGACCUAAUAGCCGAGCAUCGAUUAACCACAGCCAUUCGUCCUCAGAUAAAUGCAUUCCUGGAAGGGUUUAGUGAACUUAUCCUUAAAGAUCUAAUAUCGAUUUUUAACGACAAGGAACUGGAGUUAUUAAUAAGUGGUCUUCCUGAUAUCGACUGUAAGUAGUAUUUAUAAAAUAUAUCAUAAUCCUCCUGUACCAAGAAUUUUAUUGCCUCUGACCUUUUUUUGUUGGGUGUUUAUGCAUCAGUGGAUAACCUGAGGGCGAAUACUGAAUGGUCUGGGUAUAGUCCUGGAUCCCCUGUUAUCCAGUGGUUCUGGGAGGUUGUUCAGGGAUUGAGCAAAGAAGACAAAGCCCGUCUAUUGCAGUUUGUGACUGGAACCUCCAAGGUAAAGAAAACAUGUUUGGUCUGUUUCAUUAAGAUAAGAUUGUGUUUUUUUUUACAAAGUGGGAAACUGACGUUUUGAACUCAACAACACAAGGUACCUCUGGAAGGAUUUAGUUCCCUUCAAGGAAUUUCAGGGGCACAGAAGUUUCAGAUCCACAAGGCAUAUGGAAGCGCUGAUCACUUGCCGUCUGCUCAUACCUGGUAAAAAAAAAUCUCAAUCCUCCAAUGAGACUAUUAUCUGAUGGAUGAUGGAUGACCACAAAUAUUAAUAUAUAUGCAAAACUGUUUUGUUUGCAGUUUCAAUCAGUUAGAUCUGCCAGAGUACCCGUCUAAGGAGCAUCUGCAGGAGAGGCUGCUGCUUGCAAUCCAUGAAGCAAGCGAAGGAUUCGGAUUUGGUUAAAACAAAAACCAGCUUCCUUUUUUCUUACUAUUUUCAUUCUAUACAUAUGCCUUUUGGGUAAAACGAAUGAUUUUCUGUAAUUCUCACUCUCUACUCUAACGUCCGUUUAAAAGAGUAUGUUCAAUAGUUAUUUUUAUCCCUUAGUUUGCAGAGAAAUUUAUAUGGAAAGGCACUUCCUAGAACACAAAUAACCACUUCUCUAAGGCACUUCCUAUAACAGAAAUAACCACUUCUCUAUUAGAAAGCACUUCCACCCUUUAUUGGAUACAAGAAAUUCUUUAUAUGCUCUUUCAUUAAACUAGCUGUUUUGUCUAGUUGACAAUCCAAACAUUAGUUGUCUUUUAACGCUGAAAAUUUCAAGUUCAAAAAGACAACAUAGUGUUUCCUUGAUGAAAUACAAUAAUCCACCGAUAAAUGAUAUAAAUAACUCAAAUAUGCAUCCAAAAUAAAAGUUGCAAGAAAAAAACUGAGUGGUCGAAAUCAACACACCGAUUAAAUGUGACCAAGAAGCUAUGCAGCAGAGAUUCAAACACAAACACCCACUUUUUUACUCAGGAAAAGUGGUGCCAAGAUGGACCCCAAGAAGCAAUAGACCCCAAGAAGAAAUGGACGAGGCCAACACAUACCUCCCACAGCUACAUAUGACUGAAACUGAUGAUCUGGUGAUACUUUUUGCAAUAUCAUGACCACCUUGAACGGAAACAGAGCAUCUUCGAACCAACAAAUAGAAAAUGAUACAAUCUCGAACCAAAAACGAAAAAUGAAACGGUAUACAACCUAAAUUUGUUCAGAUAUUAAUGAUAUCAUUUAACCAACUUUUGCUAGGUAAUCUAAUUGGAUGAUAAUUUUUUUUCUUUACUCUAACUAGGUCUAAAAAGUAAUUAUAUAAUAAGUAAUACAAGUUGCCGAAGAACCACAAAAAAAAUUUUAUAUUAAUUAAUUGUGGAGAACCAUAAAAUGUUUGAAUUCUUUAAUUUUUUAAACAAUUAUGUAUUUAUAAACUAUAGAAAAUAAACUGUUUGAAUUCUAUAUGCAUUUUCAACAUUGUGCAAGGGCUCCUAGCUUUUCACUGGAAAAAAAAAAACGGACAAACAACUUUCCUUUGUUCCUUGGGUGGAAAAUUUGGAAAAUGAGUAACAAGCAAUGCAGCUUUCUUGAAUCAGAAGGUGUGGACAGAGACGGUAACUCAAAAUAACCAGCAAAUCCUAGCUGCUCAUGCCUACAAACCAAUUCCAUCCAUGAGGUAUUACUCCCUGGUACUUUGGAAUAGUCUUUUGGAUACUUCCUGGAAAAGACCAACUGAUAUGUGUGGCAUUGGAUGGUCCUUAUUCAGUAAAGAAGACAUUUCUCAUAUCUAAGGAAGCUAUGCAUCCAGUCCUAUAAACUCACCAUUGAUAGCAGACUACAACUCUUUUAUCAGCAGUUGAUCAGUUAUCCUACAAGAGGGUGCUUUUCUUAGGAAAUUGUGAAAUAUUAAUGAAAAAGUAGCAGCAAUCAGCAGCACAAGGCAAGAAGCUAAAUGUGAUUGAUGCAACACCUGGACAUCUACGAGCUAUCAAAGGAUAAUAAUUUCACUUUCUCUUAUAUAAGCAGAAAUUGUACUCGAUAUGUUGAUCAACUUGCUAAGAAGGCCAUGAUUAGUCAUCAGAAUUAUGUAAUAUCCUGAGUGUUUUAAACAAUCUUCUUGUACUUACCUAUUAAUGGAAGAAAAAGUUGAAAAAAGAAUUGUUAUUGUCCACGUUUAUAUUUUAUUAUUUAAACAAAUCCUACAUAAUGUUAUUCAGACUUAUUCUUUGAAAAAGGGAGAAAAUAAUUAAAAAAACUAAAAUGGCAAUGACUCGAACCUUAACCACUUUGGCACGGCAAAAUGUUGUGACUUGUGACUUGUGACGGUCUCUCAGUAUACAAUUAAUCUAAGCCUAAACUCUUUAAUAUAUGGGUUGCAUUAAGAGCAUCUCCAACCCCACUUUAUUUUCAACUCUAAAAUAGAAUUUAGAGUAAAAAAUGCUUCAAUAGUACUUUAUUUUUUACUCUAUAAUAGAGUAAGCUAUUAGAGAUGGUCUAAGCACAAUCGAUCCCUUCUCUUCUUUCUCCGGGUUUUCUUCUCUCCUUCUGCUGCGUUCGUUCUCGUCUCUUUCUAGGUACUCUACAUACAUACAUACAUACAUAUUCUUCCAGAUUCGUAUUUUGGUUCUCUGGUCUGUUAAGAUUCCGAGAUUGAUUAUUUUCUUUCUCAACCCGCAGUUAGAUGGAGAUAAAAAAAAAGGAAUGUAAUAAAUAUUCAAGUUUUCGAUUUUAUUUUUAUUUUUUUUACAAAAUAAUUUCAAAAUCAGUUUUGGUUCUGUUUUUUUUUUUUAAUUUGGUUUUUGAUUUGAUAGCAUGGUUAGACCCAAAAAUGGUCGUAUGAAUUUUAUUCGGUGUGUCUAAAUUGACUGAAUAUUUAUAUGUAAUUUUUUUUUAAUGAAAAUUGAUCGAAUAUAAAAAUACCCAAAAAGAAGAUAUUGUUACCAAAAAGGGUGAGGAUAUUAUAGUAAUUUGAAUUGCAUUCAAAUGAUUAAAGGAUCUUGCUUUCGUUUGAUUCAAAUUCAAACGGCACUUUCGUAUUAGGUAACAAGAUGGAGAAGAUCUGUGUAGCAGUCAGAGUGAGGCCGCCGACGCCGGAAUCAUCAUCAUCGGAGAACGGAUCUUCUCUCUGGAAAGUCGAAGACAAUCGCAUCUCUCUCCACAAGUCACUCGAUACCCCAAUCUCAACCGCUUCUUACGCUUUCGGUACCAAAUCUUUCUCAAUCCAUUUAUUCCGGGUUUCGAUUUAUACGUAUCUGGGUACCUUCAAAAUCUCAUCUUUAUAAUCUCUGUGGUGUUUGUUCUCUUGCAGACCAUGUGUUCGACGAAAGGUCUACGAACGCAUGCGUCUACGAACUUCUCACCAAGGAUAUCAUUCAUGCUGCCGUCGAGGGUUUUAACGGUAUUCGGAUCUGAUCCUAACUUUGAUAACAAAAAACGCGAUCUCGUGAGGUUAAUUUGGUUUUGAGUUUCUUGAUGUAUGGUUUUGUUCAGGUACUGCGUUUGCUUAUGGGCAAACUAGUAGUGGAAAGACGUUUACAAUGACGGGUUCUGAGACUGAUCCAGGGAUUAUUCGAAGAUCUGUCAGAGAUGUGUUUGAUAGAAUACAAAUGGUAGGUCUUAGAUCAAUUGAAUGAUUCGGUGAGUUUUUAUAACUAAAGAGUUCAGUUUUUAACUUGUGUGUGUGUUGAUGAUCUUUAGAUAUCGGACCGUGAGUUUCUCAUCCGGGUUUCGUACAUGGAGAUUUAUAAUGAAGAAAUUAAUGAUCUUUUAGCUGUUGAGAACCAGAGACUGCAAAUUCACGAACAUUUGGAGGUUGGUUUGAUGGAACGUCUACACAAGUGAUGUUACAUCAUUUAGUUUUGCUUAAGUGUUACUAAACCGGUUUGUUCGUCUUUGAUGUGCAGCGUGGAGUGUUUGUUGCUGGUCUUAAGGAAGAGAUUGUUAGUGACGCUGAACAGAUUCUAAAGCUUUUAGACUCUGGAGAAGGUUUUUAAGCCAAAGCUAAGCUAAGAAGUAUUUUGAUUAUGCAUAAUAAUGUGUACUGACAUGGUCUUCUUUAAUUAACAGUUAAUAGGCACUUUGGCGAGACAAACAUGAACGUUCAUAGUAGCAGGUCCCAUACCAUCUUCAGAAUGGUAAGGGUUUUCAAAUCUAUGUACGGAAACUUCUACUGUUUUGUAAGUGAUUAUUUUGAUCUGAUCUCUCUGGUGGGAUAGGUGAUUGAGAGCAGGGGAAAAGAAAACUCUUCUACGGAUGCUAUCCGUGUCUCAGUCUUGGUGAGUGAUAAUUUUACCAUCUUCCAAAAGUUUCUUUUGGAAGCUACAUUUAAAUGAUAAUUCUCUUACUGGUGUUCUGGAAUCUAGAAUUUGGUUGACUUGGCUGGAUCUGAGCGUAUUGCUAAAACCGGUGCUGGUGGAGUGCGCUUGACAGAAGGGAAGUACAUUAAUAAGAGCUUAAUGAUUCUUGGUAAUGUUAUCAAUAAGCUAAGUGAAAGUUCAAAGCUAAGGUACUUUCUUACCCUUUCAUUUAGCUACACGUAACAACGAUACAGCUCAGCUCAUUUCUUACAUUCUUGAUUAUAGGGCACAUAUUCCUUACCGAGACAGUAAGCUAACUAGAAUUCUUCAGCCUGCACUUGGUGGUAAUGCCAAGACUUGCAUUAUAUGCACUAUCGCACCAGAAGAGGUAAAAGAAGUUUUCUUUUUGUCUGGUUUUGCAUUUUCCUGGCUUUUGUUAAUCAUGUACACGAAAUAUUAGUCAAUUAAUGAGUAAUAGUUGAAUGCUCAUGUGUGUAGCAUCAUAUUGAGGAAUCAAAAGGAACUCUCCAAUUUGCAAGCAGAGCCAAACGCAUCACCAACUGUGCUCAAAUUAAUGAGGUCAGCCUGUCAAUGAGCGCAAGAUUCUUGGGAGAGAUUUAACUCACUUUCUUCUUUGUGUCCUGUUGAUUGGUUUUUCUUCUUCUUCUUUAUUGAAUAUCUGACAGUGUUUCAAUGCUUCAGAUCUUGACUGAUGCUGCUUUGUUGAAACGCCAAAAAUUAGAGAUAGAAGAACUAAGGAUGAAGCUUCAGGUAUAGUCAACUUUUAUUUCAAAUACAUCUAGGCAUGGGGACAACACUAACAUUACUAAAUUUUGUAGGGAUCCCAUGCUGAGGUGUUGGAACAAGAGAUAUUAAAGUUAAGCAAUCAGAUGCUUAAGGUAGUUUUUUUGCAUUUUUCUCUUGUGUAUGUAUUCUAUAGAACAUUGAGCAGACACAGUAUACUAAACAUCUACCCUUUUGUUUAAUUUCCAGUAUGAGCUAGAAUGUGAAAGGCUAAAAACACAACUGGAAGAAGAGAGAGGAAAACAGAAGGAGCAGGAGCAAUGCAUCAAGGAGCAACAGUUAAAAAUUGAGAACUUAAACAAUCUUGUCACUAAUUCAGACUAUAAGAAGAACCAGUCAGAGGUACAUAUGCAUUCAUUGGCUUAGAUAGAUUUUCUGAAUAAUGCCUCAACCAUAACACCCAGACAUUUUUCUGAGAAACAGGCUUUAAUUUGCAAACUCCUAACAUCUUAUUGAGAUUGUUAGAGAAGUUAAUUAUUGCUUUUAUGCUAAUGUGUUGGACUCAUGUAGUUUGGUUAUGUAAAGCUUUUGUUAAUGUAACAUCUCUACUGGCAGGACUUUAUUAAUUUAAGAAGGACUCAAGAUGGGCGAUGCAAUGUCAAUGAUAGCAGCGGUUUUCCUGGGACUCCUUGCUUCGAAUCAGCUGAACCUUCCUUUGUGGUUGCUCGGUCGAAGUACUCAGAACUAUCUGAUUUUAGUCCGAUGGUUGAUUCACUGGGGGACGUGGCCGAUGAAGACACUUGGACAAAACUAAACAAGGGUUUUGUCCCAGACCUUGAUCAACUCCAGUUUACACCUGCAAUUAAAAGACAACCCACUCCAUUAAUUGCUGCAACCACGGUUAGUAGAUACAAAUACUUGACCCAUGUUAUCUUCCAAUAGUAACAGAGUUGCAAUGAAUAGAGACAUGUGGAUGCAUAUGGUCAAACAACUCUCAUUCAUCUUUUUGGGGUUCUAGUCUCUUUAUUCGCUCCCCUUCUCAUAUCAGCUUGCACACAAACACUCUGGUGUAUCAAUACUGGCUGGUAUCUAGCUCAUGUAUACUGAGAAUUACUAAAUUUUGAAACUUCAUAUAGAUGAAUACAGAAUACGCAUACAUUAUCCAAAACAUGUUCCUAAGCUGGCCAUAAUUUUUCGUUAACUAUUUUUUAGGAAUGCUCGCGUGAAAAUCAGAAAGUGGUGGACGAUCUCAAAAGUCAGAUUGAGUUGCUGACCAGCGAAAAGGACAGCCUGCAGGUUAGACAGUAUUGGUUUUAUUGGUUGUUCAAGUGAAUAUGCUUUAGCCUUUAGCCAUAAAAUGAAUAUUCUGUUAUAAAUUAAAUGAAUGAUACCAACUGAUUGUUUAUGCAUCAACUAUGCAUUCUCAGGUAAAAUUCAGCGAACAAGUAGUACUGAACAACAAACUUAUGGGAGAGAUAUCUGAGCUCAAAGAAGGAACGCUUCACAUGAAAGAAAUUCCAAAACUGUUGUCCGAGUCGGUUGCUAAUUGCAAGGAUGUAUACAAGGACGUGAUAGUCACAAUGAAGGUGAACAGCUUACCUUUUCUUAUGUGAAUGAUCAUCACUAAAAGGAAAAUUGAGUUUAAAGUCUUUUGUCUUGCAUUUUGUCAGACCUUAAUGGCUGAGAAAGAAUCUCCGACAGCAAAGCUACUCUUUGGUGUAACUGGAAUCUCAACAAGCCUUCUUUCAACUCUAGAAUCACAAUUCUCAAUGAUAAUGGAUGGUCAGAAAGCGGGUAGCAUCGUAGAUUAUCCUUUAUAUGAUCAAUGGGAAACACUUCGUGUUAGUCUGAAGAACACAGCCACAAGCCUGCUGUUAGACGCACAAGCAAAAGAUGAAAUUCUUAACUCCCACGACAAGGUAGAUUCCUUGUCACAAUCAUCAAGAUACGGAUCAGUUUUACUUAUUGUUUCUUUCGUUUUGCUUUUAUACUUUUGUCUCUCUUGUUAGGACUUAGUCCAGUGAAACCUCUGCAUACGUUUCUUAAGGGUUUGGAUCAUAACUUAUAUACUUUCCUGUUUCUUGUACAUUUACAUCUCAUUGGAGCUUCACUUGAAUCUCUAUAUACCAAUGUUUCAAUGGGAAAAGCAGGAACUGAUUCUUGUUUAGUUGAUUAGAUCUUGUGGUCCGAUUACUAUAUCUAAGACAGGUUUUGAAUGUGAAUUUUUAAGGGACAAGAAACGGGUGUAAUGGAGGAGAAGCUGAAGUCUGAGCUCAGCAUAGUCAAGGAAAGAUAUAACGAGCUGGAGAAAGAGUUGUGUUUGGAUAAACUGCUUCUAAAAGCUUCAAGAGAGAGCCAUGAGAGGCUGGAAAAGGAAGUACAAUUCCUGAAGGAAGAAAGAGAUUCAUUAGAUGUAGCAGUCUCUCAAUCAACUCAGAGGUUGAGAGUGAUUGCAUCUGAUAAAGAGAAUGCUUUGAAAGAUCUUAAUGUGGAAGUGAAGAGAAGGAAAGAGAUGGAGGAAGAGAUUAAGCAAAUCAGCUUUGCUUUCUCUAGCAGGCAGAAGUCUCUUAUGUCUUUUCACAAUGAAAUCAAAUCCAAAAUGCAGAAACUAACAACGCAGAAUCCGAAAUUGAAGUAGCAGAAACAGCUGUUUGUGUUAAAGUUUAAGCCAUUGUUACAACUAGCUCAUGUGUUAUUUAUGUAACAACUCUUUACUGGUACCCCCAUCAAUACUAUUAAAACAGAAGCAAUUUUUAUCUACUUACAAAUAGUCUAAGUUGGACCAUUAUAUUUAAUGAUAUUUCAUUUUAUUUCUACAUCAUAUCUAAUUUAAUUGUUAAAUAUACAUUAUACCUAAAAUUAAAGGACUAACUAACUAAUCUAUUAUUUUUUAAACUAUGAAUUUAAUUUAUAUUAAUUCGAAAUUCAAAUAACUAAGCAAUUAUAUUUUAGUUAUUAAUGUAAUAAAUAAUUAUAUAUAUAUAUAUAUCUAUUCAUUGUAUAUAUACAACUAUAUAUUAAUACAAAUGCAAAAAAAAAACAAAUUGUUCAAAACCCUCACCAAAUACAUAAAAAUAUAAUUCUUAUAGUUAGAGUAUUAAAAUAUAUAUAAAUAUAUAUAUUAUAAAAUAAAUAUUAACCGUAAUUAUAUGAUGAAAUAUGUUACUAUUGAUAGUUUAAUGAAUAUAUUUUUACGGGUUACUCAAACAGACAUGUAAUAUAUAUAUCAAAUAUAAACCAAUUGAACAAAUAUAUUAACAUAAAUAUAUCAUAAAACAUUACAUUAACAUAAAUCGAAGCGAGAGACAGAGAGUAAGAGUCAAUAUUUUAAUUGUUUAAAAAUAAAAUUAUAUAUAUAAAUUAUAAAAAUUAAGAACUAAAUAUAUUAAAAAUGUAUAUCAAAAUUAAAAUAAUAAAUAUUUACAUUUUUAAUGCGAAUAAUGAAAUUAAAUUUAAAAUUUAAAAUAAGCCAUAGACAAAACAUCAAAAAGUAUCUAAUAAUAUGUGAAUAACAAAAGUAAACUAACUAAACAAACAAUUAUAUUUUUUGCAAACGUAAAUCAUUAAUUUGUAAUAGAUGUAUACACAUUAUUGAUGCUCAAAUCUAUUUUAUUUUUAGUAUGCAUCCACUCAAAAUAUUAAUCCAUUAACAAGAUGAAAUUUUAGUUGGACUAAAAUUGUAUUAAAAUUGGAAUAUCAAUUUCAUAAUAUAUUCACUAUUCAUCUGAACGUUCAUGAAUAUAUAUUACAAUACUCUAAAUAUAAUAAUAAAUCAAACCAGAUUACAUAUUGGGUCAUUUAUCAGUUCAACCGAUAACCAGAUCUCGGGUUUUAGCGGUUGUUACGGGUUUUAUAUAAUUUUUAAAUAACAGUUUUUUGUUUGAAAACUAAAAUGGAUUACAUAUGAACCACCGAAUUUGGCAAUUUAACUGCGGGCCGGAUCGGGUUUCAAAACAUUGAAUAUAAUGUUUCAUUUGUAAUAUCUAAGUGUAGAUACAAUUAAAAUACAAAUUUAUAUCAAAUAAAUUUGGAAUGUUUCGAAAAUAAUCCCGCGCUUUGAAAGCGCAGAUCAAAAUCUAGUAUUAUUUAAAACGAAAGUUUAACUUUGAUAGUACUAUAAUGAAACACGGAAAACAUGAAUCAUUUUUUUCUUUUACAUGUUUUUUCUUUAAUUCGGUAGCAUUUUUUCUUUAAUAUAUUUUCUCUUUUUUUGGUCAACAAUAUAUUUUCUUUUAAAAUCACUAAUUUAAACGAUGAAAAAAAUUAAAAAAUAACUUAUUCAAUAUAACGAAACUUUAGUUUAGAUAGGUAACAUGAAUUCCAAUUAGUACAACUAAAAAAACUACAUCAUAUAUUGAUGAUGAUGCAGAAUAAACUGUCCAAACAUAUAUUUAAUGGGAUGCACUCAACUUUCUAGCAUAUUAUUCACAUUUUCAUAGAAUAGUCAUUAAUUCAAAUUUGAAUUAAAAAUCAUAAAGAAAUUUACAUAGAUUCUGCUCUACACUUAUUUAUGUUAAAAUUCCCCUUGAUUUGUGGUGUUUCUCUGGGAUAAAAAUGAUAAUAAUUAGCAACCUGUACGACAGUAUAGUUCGAACCCUGGUCUACGAUACACGGUUAAUUCGCAUAACCACUCUGACAAAUCAACUUAUUGUAUGAACUCUCAAAACUAAGUUAAAUAAACUAGAUUUAGCCCAAACUCAAAUAUAUUAAGUUAAGCCUAGACGGUGUCUCUCUACUCUGUAUCCCUCUCUCCUUUCUGGGGUUUUCUUCUCUCCUUCUGCUGCGUUCAUUCUCGUCUCUCUCUAGGUAUCUCACAGAUUCGUAUUUGGUUCUCUGAUGAUCUGUUACGAUUCUGAGAUUGAUUACUGUCAAACCUUUCUUGUAGAUGGCGACUGGCAGAUCGGCAAGUAUGCCGUCACGGUUGCGGCAGCUUCUUUCCGGCGAAGGCUCCAUCGGCCCCUCUAUUAGGCUCGACGCUGAGCCUGUGAGUUCUCUCAAAUUCGAGUUUUAGGGUUUUUUUAAUUUAUAUUGAUUGAAUUCAAUUAGGGCUUUCUAAUUUGAUUUUGAAAUCCUUUCACAAGCUUUUACCUUUUCUGAAUUUAAUUAGGGUUUAUUGUCUUGUAUUGUGUUGUAGCCUCCGGAGAUCAAAUCGUUUAUUGAGAAAGUGAUCCAGAGUCCACUCUCUGAUAUUGCGAUACCUCUCUCUGGCUUUCGCUGGGAGUACAGUAAGGUAACCAUACUAAUACAUACACUCUCUCUCUCUCUCUCUUUUUUUUGUGGGUUUUCUCAGAUGAUUGAUUGAUUGAUUGUUAUUAUUCCAGGGCAACUUCCAUCACUGGAGACCUCUUUUUCUCCAUUUUGACAAGUACUUCAAGACCUUUUUAUCAACUAGGAAUGACCUUCUCCUCUCUGAUCACAUUUUGGAAGAUGAGGAUCCCUUUCCCAAGUACUCUCUUCUUCAAAUUCUUCGUGUGAUGCAGAUCAUUCUCGAAAAUUGUCCCAACAAAAGUACCUUUGAUGGUUUAGAGGUAUGCAUGCAUGCCUCUUCUGUUUCCCAUAUCUCUAUAUUAAAGCUCGUUUAACUUUAUUAGUAACACUUUCCUACAUCGUUUAUUUGUUUGCAGCACUUUAAGCUCCUACUUGCCUCCACAGAUCCAGAGGUUCUCAUUGCAGCCCUGGAAACCCUUUCUGCGCUUGUGAAAAUCAGCUCAUCUAAGCUCCACAGGAGCGGAAAGUUGAUUGGAUGUGGUUCUGUAAACAGCUUCCUUCUCUCUAUUGCCCAGGGCUGGGGUAGCAAAGAGGAGGGUUUGGGUUUGUAUUCCUGCGUUGUCGCUAACGAGAGAAACCAGGAAGAAGGUCUCAGCAUCUUUCCUUCCGACUUGGAAAAUAAUCACAAGGAAGCUGAUUUUCGGAUUGGUUCUACUGUUUAUUUUGAGUUGCGUGGACACAGUGCCCAAAGAAUAGAUGAUGGUACUAGUAGUGCUAGUUCUUCUUCUUCAAGGGUGAUUCAGAUUCCUGAUUUGCACUUGCGGAAAGAGGAUGAUCUUGUGUUAUUGAAGGAGUGUAUAGAGCAUUACAAUGUUCCCCCGGACCUCAGGUUCUCUCUACUGACCCGUGUCCGGUAUGCUCAUGCUUUUCGUUCUUCCAGAAUAUGCCGGAGUUAUAGCAGGAUCUGCCUACUUGCGUUUAUUGUACUUGUUCAGUCCAGUGAUGCUCAAGAAGAACUUGCAUCCUUUUUUGCAAACGAACCUGAGUAUACAAAUGAAUUAAUAAGAAUUGUCAGAUCUGAAGAACCAAUCCCCGGAACCAUUAGAACUCUUGCCAUGCUUGCAUUGGGCGCUCAGUUGGCUGUAUACUCCGCCUCUCAUGAUCGUGCCAGGAUUCUAAGCAGAUCUAGCAUCAGUUUCGCCGUAGGCAACAGAAUGAUUCUGCUUAAUGUGCUUCAGAAAGCCGUUCUGUCUUUGAAGAUUUCUAGUGAUCCAUCAUCUAUUGCUUUUGUUGAGGCGCUACUUCAGUUUUAUUUGCUUCACAUUGUUUCAUCAUCGUCAUCUGGAAGCACUAUAAGGGGCUCUGGCAUGGUUCCCACAUUUCUCCCUCUCUUGGAGUAUACUGAUCCGAGUCACCUGCAUCUUGUGUAUUUGGCUGUUAAAGCACUACAGAAGCUCAUGGAUUAUAGCAGUUCUGCAGUUCCUCUACUCCGGGAUCUUGGGGGAGUAGAACUUUUGUCUCAGAGGUUAGAGUUAGAGGUUCAUCACAUUCUUAAGUUGACUGGAGAGAACAACAGUGAUAUGGUGGUUGGUGAAUCGUUAGAUAUAAAUGGUGAUCAGUUGCUCUCCCGAAAGAGACUCAUCAAGGUUCUUUUGAAGUCUCUUGGUUCUUCUACGUAUACUCCUGGAAAUGCGAAUAGGUCUCAAAGCUCUCAGGAGAGUACCUUGCCUGCCACUUUGUCUUUGAUAUACAGGAAUGCAGAUAAAUUUGGUGGCGAUAUCUAUUACUCAGCUGUGACGGUUAUGAGUGAUUUAAUCCACAAAGACCCCACAUCUCUUACUUCCCUGUUUGAAAUGGGCCUCCCUGAAGCAUUUCUGUCUUCAGUUGUAUCAGGAGUACUUCCUUCUUCCAAGGCUAUUGCAUGCAUUCCAAAUGGCCUCGGUGCAAUAUCUCUUAAUAGCAAAGGUUUGGAGACUGUAAAAGAAACUUCGGCACUGCGCUUCCUUGUUGAUGUAUUUACUUCCAAGAAGUAUGUUCUAGCUAUGAAUGAGGCCAUCGUUCCGUUUACAAAUGCCGUGGAAGAGCUUUUGCGUCAUGUCUCAUCUCUAAGAGCCACCGGUGUUGAAAUAAUCAUUGAAAUUGUGGAUAGAAUUGCAUGCUUUGGAGAGAGUGGUUCUUCAUCAUCCUCUGUAAGUACUGCAAUGGAAAUGGAUUCAGAUGUGAAGAACAUAAAUGGCGUCAGCCAUGAGCAGUUUGUUCAACUCUGCAUCUUUCAUCUGAUAAUUCUGCUCCACAGAACAAUGGAGAAUGCUGAGACUUCUCGUCUCUUUGUGGAGAAGUCUGGCAUUGAGGCGUUACUUAAGCUUCUCUUGCGACCUAGCAUUGCUCAGUCUUCUGAAGGGGUGUCUAUUGCCUUGCACAGCACCAUUGUUUUUAAGGGUUUUACGCAGCAUCACUCUGCUUCUCUUGCUCGGGCCUUUUGCUCUUCUCUUCGUGAUCAGGUGAAGAAAGCUUUAGGAGGACUGCAAGAUCUCUCGGGGACAUUCUUACUUGAUCGAAAACUUUCUCCAAGCUGUGGAAUUUUUUCUUCUCUUUUCCUUGUGGAGUUUCUUCUGUUUCUAGCUGCAUCAAAGGAUAACCGUUGGAUGACUGCAUUGCUUUCGGAGUUUGCAAAUGGAAGCAAGGAUGUUCUGGAGAAUACAGGCCUUUUGCACCGUGAAAUUCUAUGGCAUAUAGCAGUUUACGAGAGUGGAACGCUGGAAAGUUCAAAUACUUCUCCCGAGUCAGAGCAAACGGAGCUGUCUUCAAAUGGAACGGAAAGACAAAGGUUCAGUUCUUUUAGACAGUUUCUGGAUCCAUUAUUUCAGAGGAGAACGUCAGGAUGGAGCGCAGAAUCGCAAUUCUUUGAUUUAAUAAAUCUUUACCGUGAUCUUGGACGUGCAUCGACUGGAUUUCAACCCCGACCAAUCAGUGAUGGUCCCUCUAGUUCAUCAGACGCUUCUGGUAACAGAGAGCUUGAAAGAGAUGGAUCCUAUUAUACAUCAUGCUGUGACAUGGUGAAGUCAUUGUCCUUCCACAUCACAUACAUAUUCCAAGAGUUAGGGAAGGCAAUGCUGCUCCAAUCUCGUCGGAGAGAAGAUACAGUAAAUGUAUCUCCGUCUUCUAAGUUAGUUGCCUCAAGUUUUGCUUCAAUAUCCCUUGAUCACUUGAAUUUUGAAGGCCAUGAGAUUGCAGCCGAGGCAUCAAGGUCAACUAAAUGUCUCUACCUUGGCAAGGUUGUUGACUUCAUCGAUGCUGUCCUUCUUGACAGGCCUGAUUCGUGUAAUCCUGUUCUGAUAAAUUGCUUUUAUGGCCGCGGGGUGAUUCAGACGGUUUUGACAACAUUUGAUGCUACUAGCCAGCUUUUAUUUUCAAUUAAUAGGAGCUACUCGUCUCCGAUGGAGACUGAUGAUGUUAAAGGAAAGCAGGAUGAAAAGGAAGACACAGAUCAUGCCUGGAUAUAUGGUCCGCUGGCUGGCUACGGGAAGCUCAUGGACCAUUUGGUUACGUCAUCGUUUAUCUUAUCUCCAUCCACAAAACACUUGCUCGUUCAACCAGUAGAAAAUGGGAAUAUUCCAUUUCCACAAGAUGCUGAGACAUUUGUGAAGAUCCUGCAGUCCAUUGUGUUGAAAGCUGUACUUCCGGUUUGGACUCAUCCACUAUUUACGGAAUGUAGUUAUGAUUUCGUCACUGCCCUCAUUUCCAUCAUCAAGCAUGUGUAUUCUGGAGUUGAACUGAAAAGCUUAGCUGGCAGUAGUAGCGCUCGUGUAACAGGUCCACCUCCCAGUGAAACAACCAUUUCAACAAUUGUGGAGAUGGGGUUCUCCAGAUCCAGAGCCGAAGAAGCUUUGAGACAGGUUGGAUCGAACAGUGUUGAGUUAGCCAUGGAAUGGCUGUUUUCCCACCCAGAAGAAAUCCAAGAGGACGAUGAGCUUGCUCGUGCUCUUGCAAUGUCCCUUGGAAAUUCUGAAUCAGAUACAAAGGAGAAUGUUGUAGAUGAAACUCGAGAACAGAUUGAAGCAGAAAUAGUCUCGCUGCCACCAGUUGAAGAGCUUAUAACAACAUGUACGAAGCUUCUGCAGAUGAAAGAGCCCCUUGCUUUUCCCGUUAGAGACUUGCUUGUAUUGAUAUGCUCAGAAAACAAUGGAGAACACCGAUCUGGUGUUAUAUCUUGCCUUCUUAGCCGGAUUAAGGAUUGUUGUCCUGUCUUCGAUGACACAAAGAACAAUCUACUCUCUGCUCUGUUGCAUGUUCUUGCUUUGAUUCUACAUGAAGACGCAGGUUCCCGGGAAGUUGCGCUGAAGGCGGGUAUUGUAAGACUUGUGUGCGAUGUACUCUCAAAGUGGGAUUCUGGUAGUAUUGAUAAGGAAAAGUAUAAUGUUCCAAAGUGGGUGACGACAGGGUUUCUUGCCAUUGAUAGGCUGCUACAAGUGGACCAGAAAUUAAAUACUGAGCUUAUAGAGGAGUUGCAAAAAGGUGAGACAUCUCUGGCCAUUGAUGAGAGCAAACAAGAUAAGCUGCAAUCUGUUUUUGGCUCGCCACAGCUUGUUGAUGCUGACGAUCAGAAGAAGUUGAUUGAGAUUGCUUGUACAUGUAUCCGGAAUCAGCUUCCUUCUGAAACUAUGCAUGCUGUUUUACAACUGUGUUCUACAUUGACAAGGAAGCAUUCUGUUGCUGUCUGCUUUCUUGAUUUUGGAGGUGUGCAAGGACUGCUUUCUCUGCCGAGUAAUAGUCUUUUUCCAGGGUUUGACUCAGUUGCUGCUAGUAUCAUCCGUCAUAUUCUUGAAGACCCCCAAACGCUUCAGCAAGCCAUGGAAUCUGAGAUAAAACAUGCUCUUGCAACACUUUCCAACAGGCACUCAAAUCAGAGAAUCUCUCCACGCAAUUUUUUGUUGCAUGUGAAUUCUGUAAUUGCUCGGGAUCCAGUCACUUUUAUCCAGGCCGCUCGUUCUAUAUGCCAAGUAGAGAUGGUUGGUGAAAGACCUUACAUCGUGUUAGUCAAAGAAAAAGAGAAAUCAAAAGACAAAGAGAAGGAUAAGGAUAAGGACAGAGCUGACAAAGAGAAAUCUCAGACUUCUAAUGAAGUUGCAACUACCACUCCCCCUGGGAGCACCAAGGCUAAAGUUUACCGGAAACCUCCUCAGUCGUUCAUUGGUGUCGUUGAGCUGCUUCUGGAUUCUCUCUGUAAUUUCGUUCCUCCUCCAAAAGAUGACAUGGUUGAAGGUGAUUCUACUUCAGCAGACAUGGAUAUUGAUCAUGCCUCUACUAAGGGAAAAGGCAAAGCGGUUGCUACCACACCUGAAGAAAAGAAAGCUAUUUCACAGGACAUGUCAGCUUCAUUGGCUAAAAUUGUUUUCAUUCUGAAGCUUUUGAGUGAGAUACUGUUCAUGUAUUCUUCGUCAAUCCAUAUAAUACUUCGAAGAGAUGCUGAAAUUAACAGUCUUAGAGGUCCUCAACAGAAGGGGGGUCAAGUUGGUGGAAUAUUUCAUCAUAUUCUUCACAAGUUUAUUCCAUACUCACGGGUGAAGAAGGAAAAGAAAUCUGAGAGUGAUUGGCGGCAAAAGCUGGCAAGUAGGGCUAAUCAGUUUUUAGUGGGUGCAUCUGUUAGAUCAGCUGAAGCAAGGAAGAGGAUAUUUUCUGACAUUAGCAGUAUCUUCAAUGACUUCAUAGGUACCUCCAAUGGGCUUAGACCUCCAGUUAAUGAAAUACACAUUUUGAUAGAUUUGUUGAGUGAUAUGCUCUCUGCUCGGUCACCUACUGGAUCACAUAUAUCUUCAGAAGCUUCGAAUACUUUUGUUGAUGUUGGAUUGGUUAAGUCUCUUACUCGUACUCUUGAAGUGUUGGACUUGGACAACGUAGAAUCUCCCAAAACUGUAACAGGAAUCAUAAAAGUUUUGGAGUUGGUGACUAAGGAGCAUGCCCAUUCUGCUGAUUCGAACUCGAAGAAUGAAAAUGCGAACAAGUCAUCUGAUCAAAUUCAAUCAGGAAGAGGAGAUACUACUGCUGAUGCAUCUGAAGCAGGGGAAAUUAUGCUGCGGUCGAAUCAUGAUUCCAUGACAGCUGAUCAUGCGGAGAAUUUUGGCGGUUCCCACACUUUUGUUGGUUCAGAAGAUGUGACAGAUGACAUGGAGCAUGAUCAAGACUUGGAUGAAGGAUUUGCCGCAGGUGGGGAUGAUUAUAUGCAAGAAGCAGCUGAGGAUGCUAGGGGGUUGGAAAACGGGAUUGGGUCGAUGGGUAUAGAGUUUGAGAUGCAUACCCACGUGCCGGAAAAUCUUGAUGAAGAGGAAGACGAAGAGAUGUCUGGUGAUGAGGGUGACGAAAUAGAUGAGGAUGAAAACGAUAAUGAAGAAGAAGACGAGGAGGACAAUGACUUGGAAGAAGAAGAAGAAGAAGAUGUACAUCACCUGCCUCAUCAUGACACAGAUCAAGAUGAUCAUGAGCUUGAGGAUGAUGAAUUUGAAGAGGAAAUACUGGUUGAAGAGGAUGAAGAGGACGAAGAUGAUGAAGAUCGGGUAAUUCUCAGGUUUGAGGAUGGAAUCAAUGGGCUAAACGUUCUUGAUCAUUUGGAGGUUCUUAGAGAUCAUAGAUUUUCUGAUGAAACACUUCAUGUAAUGCCUGUUGAAGUUUUUGGCUCGAGACGUCAAGGACGAACAACUUCUAUUUACAGCCUUCUUGGCAGAACUGGGGAUGGUGCUACUCCUUCACAGCAUCCUCUUUUAUCGGGAUCUCCAUCACUUCCAGUGUCGCAAAGUCAAACAGGUUCUCUUUUGUUUUUACUUGUGUUCAUUUCCCUUUUAUGUUUUGUUAUAUUUGGGUUUGCUACCAGGUUACAUUUUGUUUGUGUUGAUCUUCCUAAAGGAAUAAUUUGUUAAUCGACCGUUUUCUUCUCUUUGUAGAAAGCACACAUGAUCAUACUGUUGGAGGUAGGGAUUCCAACGGUAGUUCUUCGUCACGGCUGGAUGCUAUAUUCCGAUCUUUGAGGAAUGGCCGGCAGGGGCAUCGUUUGAAUUUAUGGGCUGAUGACAGCCAGCAAAUUGUUGGAUCUGGCGCUUCUACCGUACCACAAGGCCUUGAAGAUUUGCUGGUAUCUCAGUUGAGACGUCCCGGCUCUGAUAAUCCUUCUGAUCAGAAUCCAUCACCUUUGGAACCCCAGUCACAGGCCGAGAGUGGGCAGCCCCAGGAGGCAACUGUCAGACCUGAAAUUCCAGAUGAAAACGCCACUGGUAAUGGAGGUGCCAAUGUGUCUGCUCCCUCUAUCGUUUCGCCAGUUGCAUCUGCUCCCCCGGAUACACGAGCCACUGCUACUGAUUCGGUCUCAAGCUCGCGGUCUCAGUCAGUUGAAAUGCAAUAUGAUCCAAAUGAUUCAACUGUUCGGGAUGUUGAAGCGGUGAGUCAAGAAAGCGGUGGGAGUGGGGCAACCUUGGGUGAAAGCCUUAGGAGUUUGGAUGUUGAGAUCGGAAGUGCUGAUGGACAUGAUGAUGGUGCAGAAAGGCAUGAUGUACAGCCAGCUAUGCGCUCAAGAAGAGCAAAUUUGUCAGUUGUGCCAUCUUCAACUGGGCGAGAAGCUUCUCUUUAUAGUGUAACUGAGGUUCCUGAGAACUCCGGUCACGAGGCUGAGCAGGAUAAUCCACCAGAGGAGCAACCAGUUAACAGGGAUGUUGCUUCUAGUUCUAUUGAUCCUGCGUUUUUAGAUGCCCUACCUGAGGGACUGCGAGCUGAAGUCCUUUCAGCUCAGCAAGGACAAGCGCCAGAACCUUCUAGCAAUGAACAGCAGAAUUCUGGAGAUAUUGAUCCGGAGUUUCUUGCUGCACUUCCUGCUGAUAUCCGAGCUGAAGUUCUGGCACAGCAACAAGCACAACGGGUUCAUCAGUCUCAUGAGCUUGAAGGUCAGCCUGUUGAGAUGGACACCGUUUCAAUAAUUGCAACGUUUCCUUCGGAGUUGCGAGAAGAGGUAUUGAGCUGUUGCCUUUUAACGGCAUGAGUAGAAUUGAAGUAUAUUCAUCUAAUAUUACUUUUGUUAUCAGGUGUUGCUUACGUCAGAUGAUGCCGUUCUUGCAAAUUUAACACCUGCACUGGUUGCGGAAGCAAACAUGUUGCGUGAAAGGUUUGCUCAUCGAUACCAUAACCGUGCACUUUUUGGUAUGCAUCCAAGACAUCGUAGAGGGGAGGCAUCCAGGCGAGGUGAAGGUGUCAUAUCUGGAAAUGAGGGGAUUGCUUCUCGUAGGUCUGCUGCAAAGGUUAUAGAGGCCGCUGGAGCUCCCCUAGUUAACACUGAGGCACUCCAAGCAAUGAUUCGUGUUCUUCGGAUAGUUCAGGUAGUUACCUAAUGCAUUACUUAGAUAUUUAACUGGCAUCACUUGGACAAUUCAUUUAUAUAUCUUUGGUCUGCAGCCUCUUUACAAGGGUCCUCUGCAGAGGCUUUUGCUGAAUUUAUGUUCUCAUGGCGAAACAAGGUUUUCCUUGGUUAAUACAUUCAUGGAUAUGCUGAUGCUCGACACAAGGAAGCCUGUUAACUACUCGAGUGUUUCCGAACCACCUUAUCGUCUUUAUGCUUGUCAAAGCAAUGUAACAUAUUCACGUCCUCAGCACUUUGAUGGUAUGCAUCUCUUAAUACAUUGGAUUCUGACUUGGGAUGUGUUUAUAAUAACCAAGUUCUGUAGAUAAUAGUUGUAAUUCUAUUUGCAGGGGUUCCUCCUCUAGUGUCUCGGCGUGUCCUUGAGACUUUGACAUAUUUGGCACGAAAUCAUAUAUACGUAGCAAAGAUUCUGCUUCAAUCCAGGCUUUCCCUGCCUUCCCUUCAAGGUUCAGUACCCUCAGACAAGGCACGUGGAAAAGCUGUUGUAGUAAGUGAUGAUCACAUGAGCAGAACGCAGCAGGAACCCGAAUCUGUAGCCUUUGCGUUGCUUCUAAGCCUCUUGAAUCAGCCCCUUUAUUUGAGAAGUGUGGCUCAUCUUGAACAGGUACUCCUUUUCAUUCGGUGCUAUGGUUUGGCUUUGUUUACUGUUAUGAAAACUAACUCGGGUUUGUAUGUAUUUUCUCAUCAUUUGUUCCAGCUGCUGAACUUACUGGAGGUCAUCAUUGACAACGCUGAACGAAAGUCUGAGUCAGCUGACGGAUCAGAUGGGUCUGCCAGCGAGCAGCAAUCAACGCAUCAAGCAUUAGAAGUUGAAAACAAUGCAGAAAACCACGAUAUGGUAUCUGGCACUGCUGGUACAGUGACCAAGCCAAUUGUCUCAUCUGGAAGUUCGUCCUACAGAGCAGAGAGUGAAUGUGAUGUUCAUACUGUGUUGCUUAAUCUUCCCCAGUCAGAGCUGUGUCUGCUUUGUUCAUUACUUGCACGUGAAGGGUAUGUCAGAUGCUUAUAUGUGAACACCUCCUACUUUCUGUUCUUUCUAUCUGUCAGUUAAUGCUUAAAUUCUGUAAGUUCUACAACUAGCCUUACUAAUUGUUGUGCUGUUGAUUCAGUUUGUCAGAUAAUGCAUACACCCUUGUAGCGGAGGUGCUGAAAAAACUUGUGGCCAUUGCUCCAAGCCAUUGUCAUUUGUUUAUCACAGAGCUUGCAAACGCAAUACAGAACCUGACAAGAUCAGCGAUCAGUGAACUUCACAUGUUCGGUGAAGCCGUAAAAACGCUUCUAAGUACCACGUCAUCAGAUGGAUCAGGAGUACUGAGGGUUUUGCAGGCAUUAAGCUCCCUCGUUGAUUCGUUGUUAAUCACAAAAGAGAAGAAUUCCGAAGAGCAUGUUGCUGUGUUUUGUCAGCUAUCGAACAUCAAUUUAGCUUUGGAACCUCUGUGGCUGGAGUUGAGCAAUUGCAUAUGCAAAAUAGAGGGGCAUUCUGAUUCUGCUUCUGCUUCUGCUUCUACGACGUCUCCAACAACCUCGACGAGUUCAGCAACAACAAGGGGAGCUGGAGUAAGCCAAUCACUUCCUGCUGGUGCCCAAAACAUGUUGCCUUAUGUAGAGUCGUUUUUUGUUACCUGUGAGAAAUUGCAUCCAUCAUCACAGUCUUGUGAUAUCUCGGUUCCCA
rnacentral:lncRNA from 1 species